AUAUAUAUAUAUAUUUGUUUUGAGCCGAAUGCGGACUGCGACGGCGUUUGUCAGUAAUAUUAUUAUGAUAAGGUAUUGUGAUUUGUUUAUGCGCGUGCGAGAUAGUCAGCUGUGUACUACUUCAGACCGGUUAAUGGACGGCAUUUGUGUGUACAUUCACCCCUCUCCUUUCCUAUCUUGAACGUCAUUUGCACUGCUCACCGCAUACAUUGUCGCCUUAUUUAAAUUGUUCUUAGUAAUUUCCGGCACUGGGUAUUAGGUUUUUUUUGACCCCUACUCCAAAGGCUAGCCGUGUUGUCGCCAACAGACCGCCGGGUCAAACGUCGGACGGGUUGUCGGGGAAUAGCCAUAGUCGGAACUGGUCGCACUAUUUCCCGUCCGUAGCGUAAGUUUUUUUCUUUUUGGUUGUGUGCGCUGCAACAUUUUAAUUUUAUAUAUAUUUUUUGUCGUGAGUGCCCGCUAUUCUUUAUAUCAUGUGAUUUUUUUUUAAUUGGCGUCGGUUGAGCCUGCCUCAUUUUCUGUAGCCCUUCGGGGCUGGUAAUGUAUAAGUUUUGUUUUAAUGUUUUGAGCCUGAUUAUUUUUUUUUUGUGCGCCGUGCCAUAAGCACGUGUUGCAAAUUUUUUUUAUAUAUUUUUUUUGUAGGUGUCCUUAUAUUUUUUUUAUUUAGGUCCCGCAACAUGACAGGCGUGUACAAGACCACCUGUCAUGUUAUAUCCAUAUUUUUUGUGAUUUUUUAUAUAGGUUUGAUACUAUUUUUUUUAUUGGGUGAUGAAUAUAUUAUUGGUACAAUGUGGUGACGUAGUGCAUUUUAUUCCGGGGUGUCCCAACGUCUUGCAAGCUAAGCCUAACUGCCAGAAACCAGUCGCUUACUUGGGACGUAUACCCGCCGUGCUUAGCGGCAAUGCUGCGAUUAAUAGCCGGCGGGUACCCGAAGACGUUCAUCGUAUUCUCUAAUAAUAAAAGUUGACUUUUAUCAACCAGACGAAAGCGACGAACAAGUACUUGUGUCUUUCAAGCUUAGGGUACGAGAUUCAAAUCAAACUAAGGAAAUUAAUAUUUUGCAUUUUUUUUGAGUUAGAAAAAAGUUUUCAAAUAAUUUGUUUUUUAUCUCAUUUAGAUUCAAUAACUUCAAUAAAUAUUAAGGAAAAAUAUUACUGUAGUCUUCUCUCGUGAGAAGAAAUUUCUUAUUCAUGUUAAUAUUAUUUUUCUAUGUGGGUUUA